rnacentral:rRNA from 1 species
AAAGAUUAAGCCAUGCAUGUCUAAGUAUAAGCAAUUAUACCGUGAAACUGCGAAUGGCUCAUUAAAUCAGUUAUCGUUUAUUUGAUAGUACCUUACCACUUGGAUAACCGUGGUAAUUCUAGAGCUAAUACAUGCUAAAAACCCCGACUUCGGAAGGGGUGUGUUUAUUAGAUAAAAAACCAAUGCCCUUCGGGGCUCUUUGGUGAUUCAUGAUAACCUAACGGAUCGCAUGGCCUUGCGCCGGCGACGGUUCAUUCAAAUUUCUGCCCUAUCAACUUUCGAUGGUAAGGUAUUGGCUUACCAUGGUUUCAACGGGUAACGGGGAAUUAGGGUUCGAUUCCGGAGAGGGAGCCUGAGAAACGGCUACCACAUCCAAGGAAGGCAGCAGGCGCGCAAAUUACCCAAUCCCGACACGGGGAGGUAGUGACAAUAAAUACUGAUACAGGGCUCUUUUGGGUCUUGUAAUUGGAAUGAGUACAAUUUAAACCCCUUAACGAGGAACAAUUGGAGGGCAAGUCUGGUGCCAGCAGCCGCGGUAAUUCCAGCUCCAAUAGCGUAUAUUAAAGUUGUUGCAGUUAAAAAGCUCGUAGUUGAAACUUGGGUCUGGCUAGCGGGUCCGCCUCACCGCGUGCACUUGUCCGGCUGGACCUUUCCUUCUGGAGAACCUCAUGCCCUUCACUGGGUGUGUUGGGGAACCAGGACUUUUACUUUGAAAAAAUUAGAGUGUUCAAAGCAGGCCUUUGCUCGAAUACGUUAGCAUGGAAUAAUAGAAUAGGACGUGCGGUCCUAUUUUGUUGGUUUCUAGGAUCGCCGUAAUGAUUAAUAGGGAUAGUCGGGGGCAUCAGUAUUCAAUUGUCAGAGGUGAAAUUCUUGGAUUUAUUGAAGACUAACUACUGCGAAAGCAUUUGCCAAGGAUGUUUUCAUUAAUCAGUGAACGAAAGUUAGGGGAUCGAAGACGAUCAGAUACCGUCGUAGUCUUAACCGUAAACUAUGCCGACUAGGGAUCGGGCGAUGUUUCUAUCUUGACUCGCUCGGCACCUUACGAGAAAUCAAAGUUUUUGGGUUCUGGGGGGAGUAUGGUCGCAAGGCUGAAA